rnacentral:rRNA from 1 species
AUUGAACGCUGGCGGCAGGCCUAACACAUGCAAGUCGAGCGGAUGAAGGGAGCUUGCGCCUGGCUUCAGCGACGGACGGGUGAGUAAUGCCUAGGAAUCUGCCUGGUAGUGGGGGCUAACGUCCGGAAAGGAGCGCUAAUACCGCAUACGUCCUGAGGGAGAAAGGGGGGGAUCUUCGGACCUCACGCUAUCAGAUGAGCCUAGGCCGGAUUAGCUAGUUGGUGGGGUAAAGGCUUACCAAGGCGACGAUCCGUAACUGGUCUGAGAGGAUGAUCAGCCACACUGGAACUGAGACACGGUCCAGACUCCUACGGGAGGCAGCAGUAGGGAAUAUUCGGCAAUGGGCGAAAGCCUGACGGAGCCAUGCCGCGUGUGUGAAGAAGGUCUUCGGAUUGUAAAGCACUUUAAGUUGGGAGGAACGGCAGUGAGAGUAACUAUUCACGUCUUGACGGUACCUACACAGUAAGCAACGGCUAACUACGUG